UGAGGAAUAUUGGUCAAUGGGCGAGAGCCUGAACCAGCCAAGUAGCGUGCAGGAUGACGGCCCUAUGGGUUGUAAACUGCUUUUAUAUGGGAAUAAAGUGAGGGACGUGUCCCUUAUUGCAUGUACCAUACGAAUAAGGACCGGCUAAUUCCGUGCCAGCAGCCGCGGUAAUACGGAAGGUCCAGGCGUUAUCCGGAUUUAUUCGGUUUAAAGGGAGCGUAGGCCGUUUGGUAAGCGUGUUGUGAAAUGUAGGAGCUCAACUUCUAGAUUGCAGCGCGAACUGUCAGACUUGAGUGCGCACAACGUAGGCGGAAUUCAUGGUGUAGCGGUGAAAUGCUUAGAUAUCAUGAAGAACUCCGAUUGCGAAGGCAGCUUACGGGAGCGCAACUGACGCUGAAGCUCGAAGGUGCGGGUAUCGAACAGG
rnacentral:rRNA from 1 species